rnacentral:rRNA from 1 species
AUACGGAGGGGGCUAGCGUUGUUCGGAAUUACUGGGCGUAAAGCGUACGUAGGCGGACUGAUCAGUUGGGGGUGAAAUCCCAGGGCUUAACCCUGGAACUGCCUUCAAUACUGUCAGUCUUGAGAUUGGAAGAGGUGAGUGGAAUUCCUAGUGUAGAGGUGAAAUUCAUAGAUAUUAGGAGGAACACCAGUGGCGAAGGCGGCUAACUGGUCCAAUACUGACGCUGAGGUACGAAAGCGUGGGGAGCAAACAGGAUUAGAUACCCUAGUAGUCC